rnacentral:rRNA from 1 species
UGCAACUCGACUCCAUGAAGCUGGAUUCGCUAGUAAUCGCGCAUCAGCCAUGGCGCGGUGAAUACGUUCCCGGGCCUUGUACANACCGCCCGUCAAGCCAUGGAAGCCGGGGGUGCCUGAAGUGCGUGACCGCAAGGAGCGCCCUAAGGUAAAACCGGUGACUGGGGCUAAGUCGUAACAAGGUACC